GACGAACGCUGGCGGCGUGCCUAAUACAUGCAAGUAGAACGCUGAGGACUGGUGCUUGCACUGGUCUAAGGAGUUGCGAACGGGUGAGUAACGCGUAGGUAACCUACCUCAUAGCGGGGGAUAACUAUUGGAAACGAUAGCUAAUACCGCAUGACAAUAGGGUACACAUGUACCCUAUUUAAAAGGGGCAAAUGCUUCACUAUGAGAUGGACCUGCGUUGUAUUAGCUAGUCGGUAAGGUAACGGCUUACCAAGGCGACGAUACAUAGCCGACCUGAGAGGGUGAACGGCCACAAGGGGACUGAGACACGGCCCUU
rnacentral:rRNA from 1 species